AAACGACGUUAUGCAUGAAACGUAAUGCUCAUNAACUUCCCUCUAGACCCAGCKGCYGUCGAAGUUCCAUCUACAAAAUGGAUAAGACUUUGGUUUUAGUAUAAGUGUAGUCUAGUUUUUUAUUGGAAAGUAAAUAAAGGAACAAUAACCAACACUCUUGAUAGAAUAAGAAAUUGGUUAUUGUUCCUUUAUUUAGUGAUCUUUUCUUUCGAUAAGUUUUUUUUACUUCAACAUAAAAAAAGUAUUCUAGUCUUAGGGAUUGUUUUCUGAUUGUCUAUCAUACUUUUUUCCUUAUAUAUGAAAUUAUUUAGAAUUUAUAUACAUUCUUUUCAACCCUUUCUUUGUAAGGCUUUGUGAAAUUAUUAUCUUCUAGCUUUUUUUUGGUGGAAUCCAAAUAAAUGGAAAUACUAGUAAUGAUGGGGCGGAUGUAGCCMAGUGGAUCAAGGCAGUGGAUUGUGAAUCCACCAUGCGCGCCYGUGUGAAAWAKUGUAGCACCACGUUCAUGCAUAACGUCGUUUUACAACG
rnacentral:misc_RNA from 1 species